ensembl:lincRNA
AGGGUGUAUGAUAAUUCUGUUAUGUUUUAAAUCCAUUAUCUUAGAAAUCGGAACUUAAAUAUUAGCAAAUGGGACAUAUGAUGGUUGGGAUUUGCUUCAAAAUAAUUCAGUGGAGAGGUAAAGUGGAAGUUUUAGGUGAAAAAAAUUGGCCAUGCAUUGAUUAUUAUUGAAGCCAAAUGGUGGUUAUGUAAGGUUCAUUACACUAUUCUCCCUCCCUUAGUAUAUGUGUGAAAUUUUCUGUAAUAAAAAGGGAAUUCGAAGUAGUUAAGCAAAAGAGAUGAGGCAGUAUGAGAGUGUGGAGCACAGACGAAGUGAGAGCACCAGAAGACACCGAUUCUGAAGAGCAGGGAUAGCUGUGGGCUUGGAGAGAUGCCAAGUAUUUCCUGGAAGACGUGAGGGCAGAGAAGAGAGCAGAGCACUGGGGAAAGAGCAUGAACGUGAGGUCCUUCAAGAGAAGCCCCUCUGGCAGACUUGCAGAACAUCCGCGGUGGAAGGGACUGGGAGGCUAUGCUAUCGACACUCAGCCACCCUCACUGUCCUACUAUGGACUGUUUCCUGUGGGCCUUCUAGAUCCAGGCAUAAAACUGAGGAAAGGGUUCCCUCACCUGUGCGGCACAGGAGGCAUUCUCAGAGAACCAGUUUGCGGCCUGAGGGUAGAAACAUUCCUUCCUCUGUGACUCCUGUUCCACCAGAUACUUCACCCAGGGCAGACAAAUCCCAGGCCUGCCUCUCCACCAGCACCCUCCCGACUCAGACUAGUCCUCUCGUGGUGGACUCACGAUAUGCACAUUCCCUGGGGCGAUCCACCCAUGUGCCAGGAGCUCACAUUCUCAGAAUGAGAUCGGCUUCCAUUCCUCCUGAGCCAAGGACUGGGUGUGGGAAGAGUGAGUUCCCACAAGCCCCAGCCUCCCCUCCUCCCCUUCACUCCCUUGGACCUAUAAUCUUUCAGCCAACAGUGACCAAGCCACUGCUAUGUGCCAGGCACUGUGCAGAAUUCAGGGACACAGUGGUGAACAAUCCUCAGAGAAAAGUCCCAAUCCUCAGAGAAAGUUCAUCCAGGGAGACUCAGACAUUCCACAAUCAUCAAGAAAACAAAAACCUGGGGUGAGUGCUAUAAACAUGUAGGGUGCUAAAAGGGAGGAUAAUAGCGGGACCUAAACUAGAUAGGUUGGAGGUAGUUGUCUGUUAAAUAGAUGAUCUCACUGAAGAAAUGAUAUUCAAGUUGAGAACUAACCAGGUGAAUGGGAAUUAGAGAUUGGGAGAGCUGGGGAGGCAGCAUAAGCAAAGUCCCUGUUAGAAAUUAGAAAGAGGUUGGCAUAUUCUGAAAAAGUGCAGAAGAGUAGGCAAGUGGGUGACUGAGAGAGAGGAGUAGGUUGAAGGUGAAGGAGACUGGAGUUGUAAUGAACAAAGCACAGAGGCCAAGGAGAAGAUCUUGGAUUUCAAGCUGAGGAGUGGCAUCAUCCUGUUUCACUUCGAGAUAGUGCAGGCUACCCUGUGGAGCACAGGACUGUAAACCUAACUAGAGAGGAAGCAGAAAGUAUAGGUAGGAGGAUUUUGUGGUUGUCCAAGUGAGAGAUGAUGGUCACUUGGUCUAGGGCAUGUGGUGGCAGUGGACAUGGAAAGAAGAGGACAGGAUAGAAACGCUGAAACAUAAUGCAGAGGUCCAUGCCUACAAUCUCAGCUACUCUGAAGGCUGAGGCAAGAGGAUCUGAAGUGCAAGGCCAAUCUGAGCAACUUAGCAAGGCCCUGUCUCAAGAAAAAAUAAAAACAUCUGGGGAUAUAGCUCAGUG